UGCGCCUUGCCAGCCCGCUCAGAAACUUAAAGGAAUUGACGGGGGCCCGCACAAGCGGUGGAGCAUGUGGUUUAAUUCGAUGAUACGCGAGGAACCUUACCUGGGCUCAAAUGUAUGUUGACGUAUUCUGAAAGGGAUACUUCUUCGGACAAUAUACAAGGUGCUGCAUGGUUGUCGUCAGCUCGUGCCGUGAGGUGUCGGGUUAAGUCCCAUAACGAGCGCAACCCCUAUCAUUAGUUGCCAUCAGGUCAAGCUGGGGACUCUAAUGAAACUGCCUACGCAAGUAGUGAGGAAGGUGGGGAUGACGUCAAAUCAGCACGGCCCUUACGUCCAGGGCUACACACGUGUUACAAUGGCCAGUACAGAGGGCAGCCACCCCGCGAGGGGCGCUAAUCCUAAAAGCUGGUCCCAGUUCGGAUCGGAGUCUGCAACCCGACUCCGUGAAGCUGGAUUCGCUAGUAAUCGCGCAUCAGCCACGGCGCGGUGAAUACGUUCCCGGGCCUU
rnacentral:rRNA from 1 species